UUUUAUGGUGGCCAUGCGCAGGGCUCUCUCGGGAGCGCCGGGUUCCUAAUUACCGGUCUACCAACCCGCGUAUGGCCGCCACCCCU
rnacentral:antisense_RNA from 2 species